rnacentral:rRNA from 1 species
CGAUCUGGCUCAGAACGAACGCUGGUGGCGUGUCUUAUACAUGCAAGUCGAGCGAGGCAGCAAUGCCGAGCGGCGAGCGGGUGAGUAACGCGUAAGCAAUCUGCCCCAUAUCAGGAAAUACCCGUGCCAACGCGCGGUUAAUGUCCAGGAGAGUGGCCCUCUGCAUGGAGGGUUGACUAGAGAUUUAUCGGUAUGGGAUGAGCUUGCGUCCGAUUAGCUAGUUGGCGGGCAACGGCCCACCAAGGCGACGAUCGGUAGCCGGCCUGAGAGGGUGAUCGGCCACAUUGGGACUGAGAUACGGCCCAGACUCCUACGGGAGGCAGCAGUAGGGAAUAUUGCACAAUGGGGGAAACCCUGAUGCAGCAACGCCACGUGUGGGAAGAAGCAUUUCGGUGUGUAAACCACUGUCAUGAGGAAUAGCCGCUCCGACGGACCUUGAUGUACCUUGAGAGGAAGCACCGGCAAACUUCGUGCCAGCCGCAGC